UACGAAGGGGGCUAGCGUUGCUCGGAUUCACUGGGCGUAAAGGGUGCGCAGGCGGCCAUGUGUGUGAGGCGUGAAAGCCCGAUGCUUAACAUCGGAAUUGCACCUCAAACUACAUGGCUAGAGCAUUGGAGAGGGUAGCAGAAUUCACGGUGUAGCAGUGAAAUGCGUAGAUAUCGAGAGGAACACCUGCGGCGAAGGCGGGUUGCUGGGCUGAUACUGACGCUGAGGCGCGAAAGCCAGGGGAGCGAACGGG
rnacentral:rRNA from 1 species